rnacentral:rRNA from 1 species
UACGUAGGGCGCGAGCGUUGUCCGGAAUUAUUGGGCGUAAAGAGCUCGUAGGCGGCCUGUUGCGUCCGCUGUGAAAUCCCAGGGCUCAACCCUGGGCGUGCAGUGGAUACGGGCAGGCUGGAGGCAGGCAGGGGAGAAUGGAAUUCCCGGUGUAGCGGUGAAAUGCGCAGAUAUCGGGAGGAACACCGGUGGCGAAGGCGGUUCUCUGGGCCUGUUCUGACGCUGAGGAGCGAAAGCGUGGGGAGCGAACAGG